rnacentral:tRNA from 1 species
GUCUGGGUGGCUCAGUCGGUUGAGCGUCUGACUUCAGCUCAGGUCCUGGUCUUGAGGUUUGUGGGUUCAGGCCCCCGCACUGGGCU